UUCAACGGCCAUACCACCCUGAAUGUGCCCGAUCUCGUCUGAUCUCGGAAGCUAAGCAGGGUCGGGCCUGGUUAGUACUUGGAUGGUAGACGCUACCCACUCUUAAGGUAGAUAUUUCUA
rnacentral:rRNA from 1 species